rfam:Solanum tuberosum cultivar DM 1-3 516 R44 scf00393_17, whole genome shotgun sequence.
AGCCUAUGAUUUGGGCAUUUAAGUAGGAGUUUCUUCAACCUCACCUAUGUUUCAUGGAUGGGUUCCCCCUCCUAUCGCUUGAAACCUUAAAUAUCAUCUCUAAGUUU